UGCACCACUGUGACAGUCAAGGGACUGUCACGGUGUGGGAAGGAGGCAAAGAAAGGGAAUAGUUGAAUGAUUCCUCCACGGACCAGACCGCAGCCCAACCCAGGCCUUCCACAGAGAACAGGAGUAGCUCCCGGAGGAGUGUUGGAGACCAGAAGAAGGCUUUGGAGCCCCUGGAAAUGGAGUUACAGUAGUGGACCACCUGAUGUGCUGGGAACUGAACCUGGGUCCUCUGCAAGAACAGCCAGUGCUCCAAGUUGCUGAGCCAACUCUCCGGCCUGGUUCUCACUGUAUGAUCCCAGCUUGCCUGGAACUUGCUAUUGCCUUGAACUCACAGAGACCUGCCUGCCUUUGUCUCUGGAUGAUGGGGCUGAAAGCACCAAACCUGGCUAAGUUAUUGCUUUAGAAUGGAGCCUCCACAAGAGCCGCUGCUGGGCCAGAGCUGGCUUAGGUUCUCCGCACACAUGCUGAGUUGGCUCAUCUUCUGCUAGCAAACAACUUCCAGGACACGCCUGACUGGCUUUUCCUCGCUUCCUUCUAAUUCAACACAAGAGCCAGUGGUCUCGGUGGAGAUGGCCUUCCCCUCACUUCAGAAGAGCAAUUUAUUAAUUCAGAUCAGUGUGACCUAACAUGGUUUGAAUCAAAUUUAUCAAUAUUUUCUUCUAUGAUCU